GAUGAAGAACGUAGCGAAAUGCGAUAACUAAUGUGAAUUGCAGAAUUCAGUGAAUCAUCGAGUCUUUGAACGCACAUUGCGCCCCCUGGUAUUCCGGGGGGCAUGCCUGUCCGAGCGUCAUUGCUGCCCUCAAGCACGGCUUGUGUGUUGGGCUCCGUCCCCCCGGGGACGGGUCCGAAAGGCAGCGGCGGCACCGAGUCCGGUCCUCGAGCGUAUGGGGCUUUGUCACCCGCUCUGUAGGCCCGGCCGGCGCCAGCCGACAACCCAUCAUCCUUUUCAGGUUGACCUCGGAUCAGGUAGGGAUACCCGCUGAACUUAAGCAUAUCAAUAAGCGGAGGA
rnacentral:misc_RNA from 1 species